CCAGCCCUAGGGACUGUCUUACACAGUGAGACCUCUAGGAAAGACCCCAAACAUGUGAGGAGCAUAGCACCAUUGACCAUAAAUAGAGAACUCCUAUUUAUCGAAAGCCGGAAUAAGCAACUGGGGGUUGGGGGUGGGGGAGAGAAGGAUACCCCAUAGUGAAAAGCUGAAAAGGGGGAGAGCCAAAAAAUAGAAACUGAACUACCUUCCCAAAUGAUGUAGUUAAUUUAUAACUGAGCAAAUAACAUUGAGAAACUAAAUGAAAGCAGGGAGAAAAGACCAUGGUGGUGAUAGUGAGCCAACCUUCUUGUGGAGGAAGGCAAUGGGUUCCUGUUGGUCUUGGACCAGCAGCCUUCCACUCAUCUAGGGACACAUCACCUAAUCUCCCAGGCAAACACUGGCUGCACCAGCUUCGAUUUCUGGUAAGUGGAAAAUUUGGUUGGGCC
rnacentral:lncRNA from 1 species